rnacentral:rRNA from 1 species
AUUGAACGCUGGCGGAAUGCUUUACACAUGCAAGUCGAGCGGCAGCACGGGGGCAACCCUGGUGGCGAGCGGCGAACGGGUGAGUAAUACAUCGGAACAUGCCCAGUCGUGGGGGAUAACACUUCGAAAGAAGUGCUAAUACCGCAUACGUCCUGAGGGAGAAAGCGGGGGAUCGCAAGACCUCGCGCGAUUGGAGUGGCCGAUGUCAGAUUAGCUAGUUGGUGGGGUAAUGGCCUACCAAGGCGACGAUCUGUAGCUGGUCUGAGAGGACGACCAGCCACACUGGAACUGAGACACGGUCCAGA